rnacentral:rRNA from 1 species
AUUGAACGCUGGCGGCAGGCCUAACACAUGCAAGUCGAACGAGUGGCGGACGGGUGAGUAAUGUCUGGGAAACUGCCCGAUGGAGGGGGAUAACUACUGGAAACGGUAGCUAAUACCGCAUACCAUCGGAUGUGCCCAGAUGGGAUUAGCUAGUAGGUGGGGUAACGGCUCACCUAGGCGACGAUCCCUAGCUGGUCUGAGGGGAUGACCAGACAAACUGGAACUGAGACACGGUCCAGACUCCUACGGGAGGAAGCAGUGGGGAAUAGUGCACAAUGGGGGCAAGCCUGAGACAGCCAUGCCGGGUGUAUGAAGAAGGCCAUCGGGUUGUAAAGUACUGUCAGCGAGGAGGCGUUACUCGCAGAAGAAGCACCGGCUAACUCCGUGCCAGCAGCCGCGGUAAUUC